GCAAUCAGCACAGAUCUCUGCAAAUUGGUAGAGGAUGAGACUCUUAAUCUCAGGGUCUGGGUUCGAGUCUCACUUGGAGCA